GACGAACGCUGGCGGCGUGCUUAACACAUGCAAGUCGAACGGUAAGGCCCUUCGGGGUACACGAGUGGCGAACGGGUGAGUAACACGUGGGUAAUCUGCCCUGCACUUCGGGAUAAGCCUGGGAAACUGGGUCUAAUACCGGAUAUUCAGUUCCUGCCGCAUGGUGGGGGUUGGAAAGUUUUUCGGUGCAGGAUGAGCCCGCGGCCUAUCAGCUUGUUGGUGGGGUAAUGGCCUACCAAGGCGACGACGGGUAGCCGGCCUGAGAGGGUGAUCGGCCACACUGGGACUGAGACACGGCCCAGACUCCUACGGGAGGCAGCAGUGGGGAAUAUUGCACAAUGGGCGAAAGCCUGAUGCAGCGACGCCGCGUGAGGGAUGACGGUCUUCGGAUUGUAAACCCCUUUCAGUAGGGACGAAGCGCAAGUGACGGUACCUGCAGAAGAGGCACCGGCCAACUACGUG
rnacentral:rRNA from 1 species